GGAUAGAGGCCUACCAUGGUGGUAACGGGUAACGGGGUGUUAGGGCACGACACCGGAGAGGGAGCCUGAGAAACGGCUACCACAUCCAAGGAAGGCAGCAGGCGCGCAAAUUACCCAAUCCCGACACGGGGAGGUAGUGACAAUAAAUAACAAUACAGGGUUCUUUUGGAUCUUGUAAUUGGAAUGAGUACAAUUUAAAUCUCUUAACGAGGAACAAUUGGAGGGCAAGUCUGGUGCCAGCAGCCGCGGUAAUUCCAGCUCCAAUAGCGUAUAUUAAAGUUGUUGCAGUUAAAAAGCUCGUAGUUGAAUUUCGGGAUCAAUGUUUCGGUCAUGCCGUUGGUAUGCACUGAUAUUAUUGAUUUCUCACCUUCUAAAGAACCGUAAUGCCAUUAAUUUGGUGUCACGGGGAAUUAGGACUGUUACCUUGAAAAAAUUAGAGUGUUUAAAGCAGGCUCACGCUUGAAUACAUUAGCAUGGAAUAAUGAAAUAGGACAUCCGAUUCUAUUUUGUUGGUUUCUAGGAUCGAUGUAAUGAUUAAUAGGGAUAGUUGGGGGCAUUAGUAUUCAAUUGUCAGAGGUGAAAUUCUUGGAUUUAUUGAAGACUAACUACUGCGAAAGCAUUUGCCAAGGAUGUUUUCAUUAAUCAAGAACGAAAGUUAGGGGAUCGAAGACGAUCAGAUACCGUCGUAGUCUUAACCAUAAACUAUGCCGACUAGGGAUCGGAUGAUGUUAAUUUUUUAA
rnacentral:rRNA from 1 species